rnacentral:tmRNA from 1 species
GGGUCUGUACUGGUUUCGACGGGGGUAGGUGUGGUAUGAUAAGCGAGCCGUGGUCUCACUAGCACGUUAAUCAGUGAACGUUUAAAUAUAAACGCUAACAAAGAAUACGCUUUAGCAGCUUAAUUUGCUAACUGUCGCCUGAGCCUCUUCCCACGGGUGAGGGAUGACAGUAAAACAGUGGGAUACCUUACUUCUUAUUCUCGGCGGUUGUAAGGGAAACUCAUCGAGAUAGCAACCAAGAAGCCCGUCGCUAGGCAUCGAGGAAGCGAAUUAAAGUAUGGCGUCUGCGCUCGGAGAAAGUUGUAUUGCAAUAUUUUCGGACAGGGGUUCGACUCCCCUCAGAUCCACCA